CCUACGGGUGGCAGCAGUGAGGAAUAUUGGUCAAUGGACGAGAGUCUGAACCAGCCAAGUAGCGUGAAGGAUGACUGCCCUAUGGGUUGUAAACUUCUUUUAUAUGGGAAUAAAAUGUUCCACGUGUGGGAUUUUGUAUGUACCAUAUGAAUAAGGAUCGGCUAACUCCGUGCCAGCAGCCGCGGUAAUACGGAGGAUCCGAGCGUUAUCCGGAUUUAUUGGGUUUAAAGUGAGCGUAGGUGGAUUGUUAAGUCAGUUGUGAAAGUUUGCGGCUCAACCGUAAAAUUGCAGUUGAAACUGGCAGUCUUGAGUACAGUAGAGGUGGGCGGAAUUCGUGGUGUAGCGGUGAAAUGCUUAGAUAUCACGAAGAACUCCGAUUGCGAAGGCAGUUCACUGGACUGCAACUGACACUGAGGCUCGAAAGUGUGGGUAUCAAACAGGAUUAGAUACCCGUGUAGUC
rnacentral:rRNA from 1 species